rnacentral:rRNA from 1 species
GAAGUUGUGGGCUUUGCCUGCUAUCUCUUACCCAUGUCUUUUGAGUACUUACGUUUCCUCGGUGGGUUCGCCCGCCGAUUGGACAAUUUAAACCCUUUGCAGUUGCAAUCAGCGUCUGAAAAACAUAAUAGUUACAACUUUCAACAACGGAUCUCUUGGUUCUGGCAUCGAUGAAGAACGCAGCGAAAUGCGAUAAGUAGUGUGAAUUGCAGAAUUCAGUGAAUCAUCGAAUCUUUGAACGCACAUUGCGCCCCUUGGUAUUCCAUGGGGCAUGCCUGUUCGAGCGUCAUUUGUACCUUCAAGCUUUGCUUGGUGUUGGGUGUUUGUCUCGCCUUUGCGUGUAGACUCGCCUUAAAACAAUUGGCAGCCGGCGUAUUGAUUUCGGAGCGCAGUACAUCUCGCGCUUUGCACUCAUAACGACGACGUCCAAAAGUACUUUUUUACACUCUUGACCUCGGAUCAGGUAGGGAUACCCGCUGAACUUAAGC